UCUUUCUCCCAACUUCCCAAUUCUUUCUCCCAACUUCCCAAUCGAAGAAAUCAAUUUUGAAACCCUAAAUCUCUAAAUUCCUCCACUGCGAUGUCGCUCUCCUACUCCAACUUCUUCCUCGAUGAUGAUCUCCUAUACAACGAGGAAACCUCAGCAUCUUAUCCGGAGAUUUGCCGGCGGAAAGCUUCUCUGAUGUUGAUUUGUCUCCGCCGUCGGAGGAAGAGUAAACUGGGUGUUCUUGAACAUGACAAGGUUGAGUUGAAUAAUAUGCAUAGACGUGUACUGUGCAUGGUUUUAUAAGGAGCAAGAAUCAACCUUCGCAGUGGAUCCUGACUGAAUAUACUUCAUGAAAAUUUGCAAACAUGUGAAACAUGGGUAAAUCAACUAAAUGAAUUGUUGAAACUGGAAGCCGGUAGACCGCGGAAUCUUCUGAUAUUGUUUCUGAUUCACUAGGUUUUUGUUCAUCCAAGGAGUGGGAAGAGUAAUGGCCGUAGAAACUGGGAAGCUGUGGCUCCGAUAUUCUCACGUGCUAGAGUAGAAACGAAGGUG